rnacentral:rRNA from 1 species
GACGAACGCUGGCGGCGUGCUUAACACAUGCAAGUCGAACGGUAAGGCCCUUCGGGGUACACGAGUGGCGAACGGGCGAGUAACACGUGGGUGAUCUGCCCUGCACUUCGGGAUAAGCCUGGGAAACUGGGUCUAAUACCGGAUAGGACCCUGGGAUGCAUGUCCUGGGGUGGAAAGCUUUUGCGGUGUGGGAUGGGCCCGCGGCCUAUCAGCUUGUUGGUGGGGUGAUGGCUUACCAAGGCGACGAAGGGUAGCCGGCCUGAGGGGGUGACCGGCCACACUGGGACUGAGAUACGGCCCAGACUACUACGGGGGGCAGCAGUGGGGAAUAUUGCACAAUGGGCGCAAGCCUGAUGCAGCGACGCCGCGUGAGGGAUGACGGCCUUCGGGUUGUAAACCUCUUUCAGCACCGACGAAGCGCAAGUGACGGUAGGUGCAGAAGAAGGACCGGCCAACUACGUGCCAGCCGCCGCGGUAA